UGAGAGAGGUUGCAAUUUUUAAGAGUAAUACUUAUAUUAAUCAGAUUAUUUUAAGUAUGAAAGGAAAAAUUGCCGAAAUCUGAAAGAAUAUCUGUAACUUUCAGGUUGGGCUAAUGCAAAAUAUGUAUUAGACUGUCAUAGUUUAUAGCUAUGGAGUGCUGUC
rnacentral:ncRNA from 2 species